rnacentral:rRNA from 1 species
CCUACGGGUGGCAGCAGGGGGGAAUAUUGGACAAUGGGGGCAACCCUGAUCCAGCCAUGCCGCGUGUGUGAAGAAGGCCCUCGGGUUGUAAAGCACUUUCAGUGAGGAAGAACGCCUGGUGGUUAAUACCCAUCAGGAAAGACAUCACUCACAGAAGAAGCACCGGCUAACUCCGUGCCAGCAGCCGCGGUAAUACGGAGGGUGCGAGCGUUAAUCGGAAUUACUGGGCGUAAAGCGCGCGUAGGUGGCUUGAUAAGCCGGUUGUGAAAGCCCCGGGCUCAACCUGGGAACGGCAUCCGGAACUGUCAAGCUAGAGUGCAGGAGAGGAAGGUAGAAUUCCCGGUGUAGCGGUGAAAUGCGUAGAGAUCGGGAGGAAUACCAGUGGCGAAGGCGGCCUUCUGGACUGACACUGACACUGAGGUGCGAAAGCGUGGGUAGCAAACAGGAUUAGAUACCCCAGUAGUC